UACGUAGGUGACCAGCGUUGUCCGGAUUUACUGGGCGUAAAGAGCGCGCAGGCGGUCGUUCAAGUCGAGUGUGAAAGCCCCCGGCUCAACUGGGGAGGGUCACUUGAUACUGAUCGACUCGAAGGCAGAAGAGGAAAGCGGAAUUCCACGUGUAGCGGUGAAAUGCGUAGAGAUGUGGAGGAACACCAGUGGCGAAGGCGGCUUUCUGGUCUGUAACUGACGCUGAGGCGCGAAAGCGUGGGGAGCGAACAGG
rnacentral:rRNA from 1 species